UGGUCAUAUGAAAAGAGAGGAGGGUAACGGUUCCCUUAAUAAGGAAAGUCAAGGGCCCAGGGCUCUGUACAACACACAUAUAGUUAAAACAUUGUCACUUACUAUGUGGCAUCUAACCAAGUAAUUUU